UUUCUCUUUAGAUUUGAGGCUCCUUCACAGGAGGGAAUUCACGCCUGAUACUGUGCAGAUCUGGUUACAAGACGUGCCAGGGAAGUCAUGGAGGCCCUUCCCACCUCCCGGGACCUAUUGGAUACUGGAGAAUAAGGAGUCACUGUCCUCAGCUCCAUACUGGUGCUCAGGUGGAAGACCCUGCUUGAACUCAGCGGGUCACAAAACACAACAGAAAGACUUGAGAGUAGGAUGGGGACCCAGAAGGAGAGGGGUCAGUGAGGGUUGGCGUGAGGGUGAGAGGAUGGAGAGGAUGGGGGCAUGAGUGUGAUCCGUGUACUACACACAUGUGUGAACUGGCAAAGAAGUCAAUGACAAGGAAGUUAUUCAC
rnacentral:lncRNA from 1 species